GAUGAACGCUGGCGGCGUGCCUAAUACAUGCAAGCCGAGCGAACAGACGAGGAGCUUGCUCCUCUGACGUUAGCGGCGGACGGGUGAGUAACACGUGGAUAACCUACCUAUAAGACUGGGAUAACUUCGGGAAACCGGAGCUAAUACCGGAUAAUAUAUUGAACCGCAUGGUUCAAUAGUGAAAGGCGGUUUUGCUGUCACUUAUAGAUGGAUCCGCGCCGCAUUAGCUAGUUGGUAAGGUAACGGCUUACCAAGGCAACGAUGCGUAGCCGACCUGAGAGGGUGAUCGGCCACACUGGAACUGAGACACGGUCCAGACUCCUACGGGAGGCAGCAGUAGGGAAUCUUCCGCAAUGGGCGAAAGCCUGACGGAGCAACGCCGCGUGAGUGAUGAAGGUCUUCGGAUCGUAAAACUCUGUUAUUAGGGAAGAACAAAUGUGUAAGUAACUAUGCACGUCUUGACGGUACCUAAUCAGAAAGCCACGGCUAACUACGUG
rnacentral:rRNA from 1 species